AAGGUAACAUUGCAACUAAAUUAUCAUAACUAAAAAUAGAAAACAUUAAAGUAAAAUAAAAUACUAAUCCUAACACUACAACAAACAUAUAUCUAGCACAGUUAAAAUUAUUAAUGUGCAUCACUAAAUUAAAAACAUAAAACCCAACUUAACAAGCUAUUGGAAAUUAAAUUAAAGCAAAAGAAAUAAAAAUAAAAUAAAAUAAAUAAAAAAAAGUAAAAAAAAAAACAUAAAUUCCUACCACAUCACGUGACCUCCUUUAUACCCAUCCAAAUCCAACUCUCUUUUUCUUCCAUUCAAGUAAAAUGAAAUCACCAUUUAAAAGCAAAGUAAAAAUUCAAGGCCGUGACACCUCCAGCCAUUGAUGUCCGUGCCCUCUCUUUGGCAGAAAAAUUAAUCAUCCUUCAUUCUCCCAAAAUAAACACCACAUGCGCAUAUAAUCAGAGACGUGACAGCAGAAGGCAUAUUCUAACUAAAAAAAAUAAAAUAGCUACAACGCUUCUAAAAGCUAUACCAUAAUGAAAUUUUCGUGCUACUUUUCUAAAAGCAAGGAUGUAACCCGUGCUGCAAUAAGAAACAUGUUCAAGCAUAAAUAAUAAAACUGAAAGCCCCCAGGCCGUGACACCUCAUGGUUAAUUGAAAUCAACAUUUUAAAACCAAAGCAAAUGAAACCGUGAAUUCCCGAAAAAAAGAAAAAAAAAAAGAAAGGCUGCAGCAUAGUUUUCAUUCAAUGAAAAAUAAAUAAAACCAUUUCUCAUCAUUCCCAAAGCUUGUAGCAAAAUAAAAGAAAACAAUUUGAAAAUGCCCCUAGGCCGUGACAGCAUUGGAAUAGAGAGAAUGAUAGAAUACUCAAUGCAAAGAUAUUCAUCCAAAAUCAAACAACUCAAAAGAAAAUUCAAUGGCACGAGAACUGUUCCAGCCAAGCAGAGAAAAGAAAAAAUGACGGCUCGCUGCUCCUCCUUAGGACCGUGAGUUCCUAAAAAUAUAGGGUGGGGUCCACCCAAAAACCCUAGGGUAGGACAUGUGUCACCAAAAUUUGGGCUCCAACAUAUUUUUAAUGGCCCAAUGUGCAAAGGUUGUCUAAAAAAAACUAGACUUUUAAAUUACACAUUGAUUAAUUCCAAACUACUGAAUUAAAAUAUAACUAAUUCUAAAUUUUCCAUGUAGGGAGUCUUGAAUUUAUUUGUUGUCCUCCAAAUGUCCCAAAUUGUGUUUCCAAAAUUUUCCCUAAAAAUAAUAAUGCAAAUAAUUAGCUCAAAAUAUUCAAAUUAAUUAAAAUUAGAAUUUCU
rnacentral:lncRNA from 1 species